rnacentral:rRNA from 1 species
GACGAACGCUGGCGGCGUGCUUAACACAUGCAAGUCGAGCGGAAAGGCCCUUUCGGGGGUACUCGAGCGGCGAACGGGUGAGUAACACGUGAGUAACCUGCCCUGGACUUUGGGAUAACCCUCGGAAACGGGGGCUAAUACCGGAUAUGACGGGCUGCCGCAUGGUGGCUUGUGGAAAGUUUUUCGGUCUGGGAUGGGCUCGCGGCCUAUCAGCUUGUUGGUGGGGUGAUGGCCUACCAAGGCGACGACGGGUAGCCGGCCUGAGAGGGCGACCGGCC